rnacentral:rRNA from 1 species
AUGAUGUCGACUAGUGAACUAGUGCACGAUGACACUUUUUGUUUUAAUGGCACAAAUUACAUUAUGUCGAGAUUACACAUGCUUUGUCACUUUCGGGCCAUGGGUCCAAAUGCUUUGCGGAUUAUUGUUGUAGGGAAUUCAAAUAUAAAGGAUGGACAAUCUCCAUCACUUGAGGAUAUGCAUCUUGAUAGUCAAGUUUUGAGUGCCAUUCACCAAGCUAUAUCCUUCGAAGUGUUUAAGGAAAUCUCGACUUGCAAGUCGGCUCAUGAGGCUUGGACCAAACUUGAAGAUAUAUAUGGUGUGUCCAAUCUUGAUGAAGACAAUAUUCUUUUCGGGGAGUUAAUGGAGGAGUUCUCCACAUUUUUAAAUCAUGAUGAACUCUCUAUUGCUUCCACCUCCAAUUACUCGGACACUUUAAUAUCUUCCACUUCACCAACAUGUGGCGUACCACAAGGUAAUGACAUGGUGAAUGAAGAAAUAUCUUGUGAUGAUGGUGUUAAGCUCAUUUGUAAUGAUAUGCUUGAUCUACCAUGUUGCUAUGAUAAAAAUGCUUUGGUUUCCUCUAGUUUUUCUAUGACUAACCAUGUAGAGGAAAUCAAGAAAGAUGAGGCAUGCUUGAUUGAUGAAGAACCCUCUUCUCCCAAAGAAUCAUCAUCAACCUCCUUUGUUCACAUGUGCCUCAUGGCAAGAGGUAAUGAUGAGGUGUCAUCUUCUCUUGGUGAUAAUGAUGAUAGUUGUAAUGAUGAUGAUGAUGACUUGACUCAAAAUCUCUAUCAGAUUGGGAAAACUCUUCAUAGAGCUAAAAAUAACACUUAUAAAAGGUUCCAAGAUGUUCUUGCUUGCUUUGAAAAACGUAAUGACUUAUUUCUUAACGAGCAAGCGAAAAGUGAACAACUUGAACAUGAACUUGCUAAGGCUCAUCAAUGUCUUAGUGACUUGAGGUCUUUAAAAGAAGAGAUUGAAGUUACUCAUUGUAAACUUAAAUAG